AGGGAAAGUUGCAAAGCACUUUGAAGAGAGAGUUAAAGAGGACGUGAAACCGAUGAGGUGGAAACGGACAGAGUCAGCGUAUCUGGCCUGUAUUCAGCCGUGGACCAGCUGGUGUCAGGUUAUCGCUCUCCAGAUUGGGACGAUGGCCUGUCUGCUGGCCGGUUUGCGGUGCAUUUGCAGGUGGAGUGCGCCGAGGCGCCUGGGUCAGCGACAUGAGCUCAGCUUUGAGGCCAGCCCCUCACGGGGUCUGGUACCCGGGCUGGGGGAGUGUUGUUUGGUCUGGGUGUGUGCAUGUGGGCAAUGGCAUCGGGCUCGUGUGGGCGCCGAGCUGGCAGUGGGUGGCGGUCGCGUGCGACACGUGCCAGCGGUCAGUUCGGUCCUGCUCGAGCUCUCAUUCGCCCGUCCUCGGUGUAAAAGCUGGUCAUCUGUCCGACCCGUCUUGAAACACGGACCAAGGAGUUUAGCGUGUGCGCGAGUCAUUGGGCGUUGAAAACCCAAAGGCGCAAUGAAAGUGAAGGUCUCCCUUGCGGAGCUGAUGUGUGAUCCUGGGCGCCGCGGUGCCCGGGCGCAACAUAGUCCCGUCCCGAUUGCGUGCAAUGGGGCGGAGACAGAGCGCACGCGCUGAGACCCGAAAGAUGGUGAACUAUUCCUGAGCAGGAUGAAGCCAGAGGAAACUCUGGUGGAAGUCCGAAGCGAUUCUGACGUGCAAAUCGAUCGUCUGAC
rnacentral:rRNA from 1 species